rnacentral:rRNA from 1 species
CGGAAGAGCCUAACAGCUGAUAGUUUGAAGCGUAGUCGAACGGAAUGGAAAGUCCGGCCAUAGCGGGUGAUAGCCCCGUAGGCGAAACGCUUUGGAUGGUACUAAGGCAGUGAGAAGUAGAGCGGGACACGUGGAAUCCUGUUCGAAGACGGGGGGACCAUCCUCCAAGGCUAAAUACUCGUGAUCGACCGAUAGUGAACCAGUACCGUGAGGGAAAGGCGAAAAGAACCCCGGGAGGGGAGUGAAAUAGAACCUGAAACCGCAUGCAUACAAACAGUAGGAGCUUCGUAAGGAGUGACUGCGUACCUUUUGCAUAAUGGGUCAGCGACUUACAUUCUGUGGCGAGCUUAACCGAAUAGGGGAGGCGCAGCGAAAGCGAGUUCGAAUAGAGCGCACAGUCGCAGGGUGUAGACCCGAAACCAGAUGAGCUAUCCAUGGCCAGGUUGAAGGUGUGGUAACACACACUGGAGGACCGAACCGACUAGUGUUGCAAAAUUAGCGGAUGAGCUGUGGAUAGGGGUGAAAGGCCAAACAAAUCUGGAGAUAGCUGGUUCUCCCCGAAAACUAUUGAGGUAGUGCCUCGUGUAUCGCUCCAGGGGGUAGAGCACUGUUUUGGCUAGGGGGACAUGGAGUCUUACCAAACCAAGGCAAACUCCGAAUACCUGGAAGCGUGAGCACGGGAGACAGAGCACCGGGUGCUAACGUCCGGACUCAAAAGGGAAACAACCCAGACCGCCGGCUAAGGUCCCCAAUAAUGGCUAAGUGGAAAACGAAGUGGAAAGGCCGUGACAACCAGGAAGUUGGCUUAGAAGCAGCCAUCCUUCAAAGAAAGCGUAAUAGCUCACUGGUCGAGUCUUUCUGCGCGGAAGAUGUAACGGGGCUAAGCCAUUAACCGAAGCCGCGGAUGCGGAGAUUAUUCUCUGCGUGGUAGGGGAGCGUUCUGUAAGUCUGCGAAGGAGUCUUGAGAAGGAUUCUGGAGAUAUCAGAAGUGCGAAUGCUGACAUGAGUAACGUUAAAGCGGGUGAAAAGCCCGCUCGCCGUAAGCCCAAGGUUUCCUGCUCUACGUUCAUCGGAGCAGGGUGAGUCGGCCCCUAAGGCGAGGCCGAAAGGCGUAGUCGAUGGGAAUCGGGUUAAUAUUCCCGAACCGCCGCCGAAUGCGAUGGGGUGACGGAGUUUAGAAGGUCAGCCGGGUGUUGGAUGUCCCGGUGGGUGAGUGUAGGAGGUCUGCAGGCAAAUCCGCAGACGCAUCUCCGAGGCAAAGCCGCGAUCUGCUAAGGCAGAGAAGUGAUUGGACGAACUUCCAAGAAAACCCUCUAAGCGUCAGUUCGGCGGGACCGUACCGCAAACCGACACUGGUGGGCGAGCUGAAUAUGCUCAGGCGCUUGAGAGAACUCGGGAGAAGGAACUCGGCAAAUUGACACCGUAACUUCGGAAGAAGGUGUGCCUGAGUAACGUAGGCGCAGGGACUGCGCUCGCGUGAAAAGGUCUCAGAGAAUAGGUGGCUGCGACUGUUUAUUAAAAACACAGCACUCUGCCAAGUCGAAAGACGACGUAUAGGGUGUGAUGCCUGCCCGGUGCUGGAAGAUUAAUUGAUGGGCUGAGAGGCCUUGAUCGAAGUCCCAGUAAACGGCGGCCGUAACUAUAACGGUCCUAAGGUAGCGAAAUUCCUUGUC